GUGUUGUAAGAAAGGAGAGAAGGUUAGCACUCCCCUAGAUAAGGACGGAAGAGACCCUUGUGGUCUAUACAAUACAUGUAAGGCGCUGUCUCCCUACUUAGGAGGCAACACUUAUUUUUUUUU
rnacentral:ncRNA from 1 species